rnacentral:tRNA from 3 species
CCCAAGGUAGCUCAGUUGGUUUAGAGCACAUCAAGCACCGAAAGGUGAUGGUGCGGUCAGUGGUUCGAGUCCACUCCGAGGGG